rnacentral:misc_RNA from 1 species
AUGGCCCCCACCCACGGCCACGAGGAAAUAGAGGGGCGCUAUAAAGAGUAUGCCUAUAGCCCUGUACCAGCGAGUUCCACUUCAGCGCUGUACGAUUCAACCGCCCUUGGAAAAUAUCCUGAGACUGGUGCCGGUUCACCUAAAUAUCGUAUCAACGGUGUCCAGAAGUGUCGUGUUGCAGAAAUGACGGAGAAGGGUUCGACGAUACUUCAAUACGCCGCCGCGGCUGCGGCGAACCUGUGCAGCGUGUCGGCUGGAGCUAUGAUGGGUUGGACGAGUCCGGUAUUCCCGAGGUUGUUGAAAGUAGAAGGCAACCCCUUAGGUCGACCAAUCACGCCGGACGAGAAGUCUUGGAUCGGCUCACUGAUUGCCGUGGGAGCGAUCAUAGGCAGUUUCGUGGCUGGCUACUUGGCAGAAAGAUUGGGCAGAAAAUGGACACUGCUGUCAGCGGCGGCGCCAUUCCUGAUCGGAUGGAUCCUGAUCGGAACAGCCACGGUGGUGCCCCAGUUGUACGUUGCCCGAAUAAUCCUCGGUUUCGCCCUAUCGUUCGCUUUCACGGUGGUGCCCAUGUACUGUGGCGAGAUCGCAGAGACGUCAGUCAGAGGAGCCCUCGGGUCCUUCCUGCAACUCUUCGUCACCAUUGGCCUGCUGUACGCGUACUGCAUCGGGCCCUACGUGUCCUACCUGGUGUUCUGGCUGCUCUGCGCCAUUUGCCCUAUCGCCUUCCUGGCCUGCUUCAUCACUAUGCCCGAGUCGCCGUACUACUUGCUGAAGGUCGGCAAGAGGACAGACGCGGUGAACGCUUUGGCCAGGCUUCGGAGCAAGUCUGCAGCCAGUGUGCAGAAGGAGGCGGACGAAAUCCAGGCUGCCGUUGACGAAGCCUUCAGGACCGAAGCGAAGGUCACCGACCUGUUCACCGUUACUACGAACCGCAAAGCUCUGCUGUUCACGUGCCUGCUAGUUAUGUUCCAACAGUUCAGCGGCAUCAACGUGGUCCUCUUCUAUAUGGAGGACAUCUUCCAGAGCGCACGCUCCUCGCUACCCAGCGCGCUGUCAACCAUAAUCGUCGGCGCUGUUCAGACCGGGUCCUCGGCAGUCACUCCGGUGAUCGUUGACAAACUCAAUAGAAAGACACUGCUAGUAUUCUCCGGCAUUGGCGAGACCGUCGCCCUGAUAGCACUGGGGAUCCACCUGUUCCUGCAAGAUCGAGGAUCAGACAUGAGCUCGGUCGCGUUCCUACCUAUUCUGUCUCUGGUCAUAUUCAUCGCUACGUACUGCGUGGGCUGGGGUCCCCUGGCCUGGACCGUGAUGGGCGAGAUGUUCGCGUCUAACGUGAAAUCCAAGGCUUCCGGGAUCACGGUGUGCGUGUGCUGGCUGUGCUCCUUCUUCAUCACCUUCUACUGCAACAAGCUGCAGCAAGCUUGGGGCAACUACUCGCUCUACUGGCUGUUCGCCGCGUUCUGCGUGGCGAGCGUGGUGUUUACGAUAAUGGUGCUGCCUGAGACGAAGGGAAAGAGCCUGCAACAGAUUCAGAACGAGCUGAGCGGCAAGAAAUCGGAGAUCCCCGAGUUCGAGAGCAAACAGUGAAAACAGUAUUACGGUUCCCGGGCCAGCCGGGGACGAUCUCGAUCCACGAUUUCGUCCCCGACCUCGUUCUUCCUCUUCUUAUUUCUAUAUACGUAAGCGCGUCUUUAUACUGCCAAAGAUCACGGAUCGCGAGUCUGCAUCCUCCCUGCGAGCGGCACGUGACGAGUGGACACCGUGUUCUCCAUCGUUGAAAUCGCAGGAACGCGUUCGAUCGACGAUGCUCACGAUUUUAGGUAUUUACACGCGUACCUACACGCGUAGGUACACCCUAGGGAUGUAAGAGACGCGCGUUCGAUGCGAUGACAUUAUCGGUAGCGAACACGGAGAACUUCCACGAAGAAGAGUAUCGCGUUCGAUCAGCUCGCACAGUGACAGUGCGCGACGAGACGGUGACAAACCCCGACGAUGAUCUCCGGUGUUUCUCGAGCAACUUCGAAGACCGUGCAACUGUAAAUUAAAUUUCGCUUUUCAUAGAUCAGUAGCUUAGAAUUCCUCCGGUAUUUUCUAUUUAUUACGCAGUUUUGGUCCCCAGUUUGGCUAGUGAAAACACACGCGAGUCUUCGUAACGCUCGCACGUGUCGCUGAGAAUCGCGAUAGAUUAAUUCUGCAUAGACUCUCGUUCUUGUUUCCUAUUAAUCUAUUAACCAUCGAACGAUAGUCUGCCACGUUCCUCGCCACGUCCGCGGAAUAAUAGUUUCUAAACGUAUUUAUUUCCUGACAAGUCUUAGUCGUCCAGCGUACGUGUCGUUUCCUUUGUACGUAAGGUUCAAAGCGAUCCUCCGUAUCCCGAGUAUGAUAAUAUUUAAUAAUUUAACGCCGUAUUAGACGCGCGUGUGUGCGUGCGAGUGCGUGUGUAUACGAGGACGAAUUCCGCUGCACCGAGCAACCACCGCGCCAUCGCGAUUCUCGAUCGAUCGUGGAGCGAUAGAACGCGUCGAUCAUCCGAGGCCCGAUCGAGGACCCACCUCCGACCCAGUCGCACAAGCGAAAUCGCGCGAUGGCUAGGCAAAACGAUUCGCACGCGGGAAUUCCGCAAAUACGAUCGAUCCUUAUCUAAUUAUAAGACGAGCGGCGUGCCAGCGCACGUCACGCGGAGAAGAAAAAGAAGGAAAAAAAGGGAUGACGCAGGUGGAAUUUUUUGAAUCGUUCAAUGGACACGUGAGUCGUGUAUUUUCUACGACUGGUAGACUUUGGUCGCGAUCCGGGCAAUUCGGAGGGACUCAUCGUAGAAAGAUAACUCGCGGGUCACUUCUGAGUCUCUCGGGGUCCAUUUUCGUUCUUCCUUCUUCUGGAAUAAGAGGAAUGCAAAAUUUUCCUGGCCAAUUUCACCUCUGAGUCUCCCGGGGUUCUAGGUGACUCGUGUCCAUUUUCGUU